rnacentral:sRNA from 1 species
CUGACAGUUUUGGAAUAUAAAGUCCUCUAUUCAUCAACAGAGCAGGCAGAGGAAGUGGCUGCUUCUCUUGGCUUGCCAAUUUCUGCUCCUCUAUGACCUAGAGGUAUCACCUCAAGCUUGGAGUUCAUUAUCCAUGUCUUUCUAAUCUUUGGGCUCU